rnacentral:misc_RNA from 1 species
UCAAACUUGGUCAUUUAGAGGAAGUAAAAGUCGUAACAAGGUCUCCGUUGGUGAACCAGCGGAGGGAUCAUUACAGAAGAGCUUCACGCUCGAAAAACCUGUCAAUCGUACUUGCCGUUGCCUCGGCGGGCCGGCGCUGGGAGCGCUGAAAAAGCCCGCCGCCGGCAAAGCUAAAUUCUGCGUUAUAGUAGCUUCAGAGGUUACACAAAGCAUAAAAACCUAUAUCAACGGAUCUCUUGGUUCUGGCAUCGAUGAAGAACGCAGC